UUAAGCGACUAAGCGUACACGGUGGAUGCCCUGGCAGUCAGAGGCGAUGAAGGACGUGCUAAUCUGCGAAAAGCGUCGGUAAGGUGAUAUGAACCGUUANCCGGCGAUGUCCGAAUGGGGAAACCCAGUGCAAUUCGUUGCACUAUCGUUAACUGAAUACAUAGGUUAACGAGGCGAACCGGGGGAACUGAAACAUCUAAGUACCCCGAGGAAAAGAAAUCAACCGAGAUUCCCCCAGUAGCGGCGAGCGAACGGGGAGCAGCCCAGAGUCUGAAUCAGCUUGUGUGUUAGUGGAACGGUCUGGAAAGUCCGACGGUACAGGGUGAUAGUCCCGUACACCAAAAUGCACAGGUUGUGAACUCGAAGAGUAGGGCGGGACACGUGGUAUCCUGUCUGAAUAUGGGGGGACCAUCCUCCAAGGCUAAAUACUCCUGACUGACCGAUAGUGAACCAGUACCGUGAGGGAAAGGCGAAAAGAACCCCGGCGAGGGGAGUGAAAAAGAACCUGAAACCGUGUACGUACAAGCAGUGGGAGCACCUUCGGGUGUGACUGCGUACCUUUUGUAUAAUGGGUCAGCGACUUAUAUUCUGUAGCAAGGUUAACCGUAUAGGGGAGCCGCAGGGAAACCGAGUCUUAACUGGGCGUUAAGUUGCAGGGUAUAGACCCGAAACCCGGUGAUCUAGCCAUGGGCAGGUUGAAGGUUGGGUAACACUAACUGGAGGACCGAACCGACUAAUGUUGAAAAAUUAGCGGAUGACUUGUGGCUGGGGGUGAAAGGCCAAUCAAACCGGGAGAUAGCUGGUUCUCCCCGAAAGCUAUUUAGGUAGCGCCUCGUGAAUUCAUCUUCGGGGGUAGAGCACUGUUUCGGCUAGGGGGUCAUCCCGACUUACCAACCCGAUGCAAACUACGAAUACCGAAGAAUGUUAUCACGGGAGACACACGGCGGGUGCUAACGUCCGUCGUGAAGAGGGAAACAACCCAGACCGCCAGCUAAGGUCCCAAAGUCAUGGUUAAGUGGGAAACGAUGUGGGAAGGCACAGACAGCCAGGAUGUUGGCUUAGAAGCAGCCAUCAUUUAAAGAAAGCGUAAUAGCUCACUGGUCGAGUCGGCCUGCGCGGAAGAUGUAACGGGGCUAAACCAUGCACCGAAGCUGCGGCAGCGACACUAUGUGUUGUUGGGUAGGGGAGCGUUCUGUAAGCCUGCGAAGGUGACCUGUGAGGGUUGCUGGAGGUAUCAGAAGUGCGAAUGCUGACAUAAGUAACGAUAAAGCGGGUGAAAAGCCCGCUCGCCGGAAGACCAAGGGUUCCUGUCCAACGUUAAUCGGGGCAGGGUGAGUCGACCCCUAAGGCGAGGCCGAAAGGCGUAGUCGAUGGGAAACAGGUUAAUAUUCCUGUACUUGGUGUUACUGCGAAGGGGGGACGGAGAAGGCUAUGUUAGCCGGGCGACGGUUGUCCCGGUUUAAGCAUGUAGGCUGGUUAUCCAGGCAAAUCCGGAUAAUCAAGGCUGAGGUGUGAUGACGAGGCACUACGGUGCUGAAGUAACAAAUGCCCUGCUUCCAGGAAAAGCCUCUAAGCAUCAGGUAACAUCAAAUCGUACCCCAAACCGACACAGGUGGUCAGGUAGAGAAUACCAAGGCGCUUGAGAGAACUCGGGUGAAGGAACUAGGCAAAAUGGUGCCGUAACUUCGGGAGAAGGCACGCUGGUGUGUAGGUGAAGUCCCUGCGGAUGGAGCUGAGACCAGUCGAAGAUACCAGCUGGCUGCAACUGUUUAUUAAAAACACAGCACUGUGCAAACACGAAAGUGGACGUAUACGGUGUGACGCCUGCCCGGUGCCGGAAGGUUAAUUGAUGGGGUUAUCCGUAAGGAGAAGCUCUUGAUCGAAGCCCCGGUAAACGGCGGCCGUAACUAUAACGGUCCUAAGGUAGCGAAAUUCCUUGUCGGGUAAGUUCCGACCUGCACGAAUGGCGUAAUGAUGGCCAGGCUGUCUCCACCCGAGACUCAGUGAAAUUGAACUCGCUGUGAAGAUGCAGUGUACCCGCGGCAAGACGGAAAGACCCCGUGAACCUUUACUAUAGCUUGACACUGAACAUUGAGCCUUGAUGUGUAGGAUAGGUGGGAGGCUUUGAAGCGUGGACGCCAGUCUGCGUGGAGCCAACCUUGAAAUACCACCCUUUAAUGUUUGAUGUUCUAACGUUGGCCCCUUACCGGGGUUGCGGACAGUGUCUGGUGGGUAGUUUGACUGGGGCGGUCUCCUCCCAAAGCGUAACGGAGGAGCACGAAGGUUAGCUAAUCCUGGUCGGACAUCAGGAGGUUAGUGCAAUGGCAUAAGCUAGCUUGACUGCGAGCGUGACGGCGCGAGCAGGUGCGAAAGCAGGUCAUAGUGAUCCGGUGGUUCUGAAUGGAAGGGCCAUCGCUCAACGGAUAAAAGGUACUCCGGGGAUAACAGGCUGAUACCGCCCAAGAGUUCAUAUCGACGGCGGUGUUUGGCACCUCGAUGUCGGCUCAUCACAUCCUGGGGCUGAAGUAGGUCCCAAGGGUAUGGCUGUUCGCCAUUUAAAGUGGUACGCGAGCUGGGUUUAGAACGUCGUGAGACAGUUCGGUCCCUAUCUGCCGUGGGCGCUGGAGAAUUGAGGGGGGCUGCUCCUAGUACGAGAGGACCGGAGUGGACGCAUCACUGGUGUUCGGGUUGUCAUGCCAAUGGCACUGCCCGGUAGCUAAAUGCGGAAGAGAUAAGUGCUGAAAGCAUCUAAGCACGAAACUUGCCCCGAGAUGAGUUCUCCCUGAGACUUUAAGUCUCCUGAAGGAACGUUAAAGACGAUGACGUUGAUAGGCCGGGUGUGUAAGCGCAGCGAUGCGUUGAGCUAACCGGUACUAAUGAACCGUGAGGCUUAACCUU
rnacentral:rRNA from 1 species